rnacentral:rRNA from 1 species
AUAUCAAUAAGCGGAGGAAAAGAAACCAACAGGGAUUGCCCUAGUAACGGCGAGUGAAGCGGCAACAGCUCAAAUUUGAAAUCUGGCCCCCGGGUCCGAGUUGUAAUUUGUAGAGGAUGCUUUUGGUGCGGUACCUUCCGAGUUCCCUGGAACGGGACGCCAUAGAGGGUGAGAGCCCCGUCUGGUUGGACGCCAAUCCUUUGUAAAGCUCCUUCAACGAGUCGAGUAGUUUGGGAAUGCUGCUCUAAAUGGGAGGUAUAUGUCUUCUAAAGCUAAAUAUUGGCCAGAGACCGAUAGCGCACAAGUAGAGUGAUCGAAAGAUGAAAAGCACUUUGAAAAGAGAGUUAAAAAGUACGUGAAAUUGUUGAAAGGGAAGCGCUCAUGACCAGACUUGGGCUCGGUUGAUCAUCCAGGGUUCUCCCUGGUGCACUCUCCCGGCCCAGGCCAGCAUCAGUUCGCCGCGGGGGACAAAGGCGUCGGGAAUGUGGCUCCCUCGGGAGUGUUAUAGCCCGUCGUGCAAUACCCUGUGGUGGACUGAGGUUCGCGCAUUCGCAAGGAUGCUGGCGUAAUGGUCAUCAGCGACCCGUCUUGAAACACGGACCAAGGAGUCGUCUUCGUAUGCGAGUGUUCGGGUGUCAAACCCCUACGCGUAAUGAAAGUGAACGCAGGUGAGAGCUUCGGCGCAUCAUCGACCGAUCCUGAUGUUCUCGGAUGGAUUUGAGUAAGAGCAUACGGGGCCGGACCCGAAAGAAGGUGAACUAUGCCUGUAUAGGGUGAAGCCAGAGGAAACUCUGGUGGAGGCUCGCAGCGGUUCUGACGUGCAAAUCGAUCGUCAAAUAUGGGCAUGGG